rnacentral:rRNA from 1 species
UACGUAGGGUGCAAGCGUUGUCCGGAAUUAUUGGGCGUAAAGAGCUCGUAGGUGGCCUGUCGCGUCGGCUGUGAAAACUCGGGGCUCAACUCCGAGCUUGCAGUCGAUACGGGCAGGCUAGAGUUCGGCAGGGGAGACUGGAAUUCCUGGUGUAGGCGGUGAAAUGCGCAGAUAUCAGGAGGAACACCGGUGGCGAAGGCGGGUCUCUGGGCCGAUACUGACACUGAGGAGCGAAAGCGUGGGGAGCGAACAGG